GUGGCAAACGGCAGGCCUUCCUCAUGUGUGUGAAGAAACACAGGCCAGGAGCGCACCAGGACGUCCAGCUGAUGAGGGAGUGGCUGGGCCAGUGCCAGUUCGAGUACACGGCCUGCAUCGAUCCCGACAAAAUGGAGUUCCUUGAAAAAAUAACAUCAUUUCGGGAUGAGCUCAAUGAAAUGAAAGAUGAGAUUGGCUGCUGCACUGUGACUCUCAUGUCCCACGGCGAGCAAGGCUUUAUUAAAAUCAAAGAUGGUGAGAAAGUGAGCCUGGAAAAAAAUCUUUAAAAUGUCCAACAAUAAAAACUGUCAGGCCCUUCAGAGGAAGCCCAAGAUCUUUAUCAUCCAGGCAUGCAGAGGAGAGAAGAUAGAUUAUGGUGUCGAGACGGGUGAUGAGCCCAUAAACUCUGACGAUGUCAAAGAGAAGUGCCGGCUGCCCAUGUUCAGCGAUUAUUUCAUCAUCUACCCGACCCAGCCAA